rnacentral:rRNA from 1 species
AUUGAACGCUAGCGGGAUGCUUUAAACAUGCAAGUCGAACGAGUGGCGGACGGGUGAGUAAUAUAUCGGAACGUGCCCAGUAGCGGGGGAUAACUCCUCGAAAGAGUUGCUAAUACCGCCUACUAUUGGAUCGGCCCCUAGCGGCUUAGCUAGUGGGUGGGUGAAAGGCUCACCAAGGCAACGAUCCGUAGCUGGUUUGAGAGGACGACCAGCAACACUGGGACUGAGACACGGCCCAGACUCCUACGGGAGGCAGCAGUGGGGAAUAUUGGACAAUGGGGGAAAGCCUGAGCCAGCCAUCCCGCGUGUAUGAGAAGGCCUUCGGGUUGUAAAGUACUUUUGUCAGAGAAGCGGUAUCUGCAGAAUAAGCACCGGCUAACUACGUGCCAGCAGCCGCGGUAAUUC